rnacentral:tRNA from 1 species
GGUGGAGCUCAGUGGUAGAGUACUCACCUAACAUGCAUGAGGCCUGGGGUUCAAUUCCCAGCACCA